AGGACCCAAUUCUCUUGGGUCCGGCUUCAGGACCCAAGGGUAAUCGGUCGUGCGUCAAGACCCAAUUCUCUUGGGUUCGGCAUCCGAACCCAAGGCUAAUGGGUCCU
rfam:Populus trichocarpa scaffold_1_contig_340, whole genome shotgun sequence.